UACGUAGGGUGCAAGCGUUAAUCGGAAUUACUGGGCGUAAGGCGUGCGCAGGCGGUGAUGUAAGACAGGUGUGAAAUCCCCGGGCUUAACCUGGGAACUGCAUUUGUGACUGCAUCGCUGGAGUGCGGCAGAGGGGGAUGGAAUUCCGCGUGUAGCAGUGAAAUGCGUAGAUAUGCGGAGGAACACCGAUGGCGAAGGCAAUCCCCUGGGCCUGCACUGACGCUCAUGCACGAAAGCGUGGGGAGCAAACAGG
rnacentral:rRNA from 1 species